rnacentral:rRNA from 1 species
GAUGAACGCUGGCGGCGUGCCUAAUACAUGCAAGUCGAGCGAACGGACGAGAAGCUUGCUUCUCUGACGUUAGCGGCGGACGGGUGAGUAACACGUGGAUAACCUACCUAUAAGACUGGGAUAACUUCGGGAAACCGGAGCUUAUACCGGAUUAUAUUUUGAACCGCAUGGUUCAAAAGUGAAAGACGGUCUUGCUGUCACUUAUAGAUGGAUCCGCGCUGCAUUAGCUAGUUGGUAAGGUAACGGCUUACCAAGGCAACGAUGCAUAGCCGACCUGAGAGGGUGAUCGGCAACACUGGAACUGAGACACGGUCCGGACUCCUACGGGAGGCAGAAGUAGGGAAUCUUCCGCAAUGGGCGAAAGCCUGACGGAGCAACGCCGCGUGAGUGAUGAAGGUCUUCGGAUCGUAAAACUCUGUUAUUAGGGAAGAACAUAUGUGUAAGUAACUGUGCACAUCUUGACGGUACCUAAUCAGAAAGCCACGGCUAACUACGUG